rnacentral:rRNA from 1 species
AUACGGAGGGUGCGAGCGUUAAUCGGAAUUACAGGGCGUAAAGCGCGCGUAGGCGGUUCGAUAAGUCUGAUGUGAAAGCCCUGGGCUUAACCUGGGAAUGGCAUUGGAUACUGUUGAACUAGAGUGCGGGAGAGGAGAGUGGAAUUCUCGGUGUAGCGGUGAAAUGCGUAGAUAUCGGGAGGAACACCAGUGGCGAAGGCGGCUCUCUGGACUGACACUGACGCUGAGGUGCGAAAGCGCGGGUAGCAAACAGGAUUAGAAACCCCUGUAGUCC